rnacentral:rRNA from 1 species
GUGGGGAAUUUUGGACAAUGGGCGCAAGCCUGAUCCAGCAAUGCCGCGUGCAGGAAGAAGGCCUUCGGGUUGUAAACUGCUUUUGUACGGAACGAAAAGGCUCUGGCUAAUACCUGGAGCUCAUGACGGUACCGUAAGAAUAAGCACCGGCUAACUACGUGCCAGCAGCCGCGGUAAUACGUCGGGUGCGAGCGUUAAUCGGAAUUACUGGGCGUAAAGAGUGCGCAGGCGGUGCUGUAAGACAGGCGUGAAAUCCCCGGGCUCAACCUGGGAAUUGCGCUUGUGACUGCAGCGCUGGAGUGCGGCAGAGGGGGAUGGAAUUCCGCGUGUAGCAGUGAAAUGCGUAGAUAUGCGGAGGAACACCGAUGGCGAAGGCAAUCCCCUGGGCCUGCACUGACGCUCAUGCACGAAAGCGUGGGGAGCAAACAGGAUUAGAAACCCCUGUAGUCC